GAAUGCACUGGAAGUUACUGAAGUUUUUGUGUUCUUUCAAAACCGCCUACUGCAGAAUUGUCCUGCAAGAUCUCUGUGCUCUUGGUAUUUUCAGCAGUGAAUAAGUUGUUAUACCAACUUUGGGGUUUUGCGAUCUAACAAUUGCCUUAAUUGCUGUGGUAUCUGCUUUCUAAGAUAUGGCUUGUUUAUCUUAGACAAAUGUUCUGUGAUUAUGGUGGGAGCUGAAAGGGCAAGGGGAGAACCAAUUCCAAGUCCAACUAUAACUUGUUGGCAUGUAAUCUCCAUGCGGUUACUUGGAAAGCGCUUUGUGGUUUAGAAAUUCUUUAUGUGGUGUUGUAUCUGCAGAUAAAAGUGAAUCCCCUAUCUUGGGCGGCUCCCCCUACUCAGAAGGAGCUUCAGAGUGGUGGACUAGGCUCAUCGAUUCCUUACCAUGAGAGGCCCGGGUGUUCCCCUCCGAAUGAACCUCCAGCAAAGAAGAAAACAACUAAGUCUUCAUCCAGAGAUAUG